AGCUUAGGCUACACUCCCUUCUCUGCCUCCUGUCCAGGAUACUCCCCUCCCUCAUUCUUCAGGUCCUUUGCUCUGUUAUUUGAUGUGGAGUAGUAUUCUGAUGUCAUAAUAACACACAUGACUUUUUGUUGAGACAAGUCAGUAAGCCUAGCUGACUUUUAUAAAUUAUCAUCAACCAUCCCAGAGGGUCUUUCCUGCCAUCACUUCUUUUUAAGUUCAGUCAACAAGGAGCCAAUCUGGACUGAGAAGACUGACCUAUGGAGAGUGAACACACCAAAGAUGAGGAAGCUGAAGCUUAGAAAGAGGAUCAGUAACUUCCCCAAGGCCACACAGCUAUAUCUAUCUGUUUUACCAACCGAUGGCGAAGCAGAGUGAACGG